rnacentral:rRNA from 1 species
CAAUACAGGGUAGAGCUAGUGGCGAACGGGUGAGUAAUACAAAAGUAAUCUACCUCGGAGUGGGGUAUAAUCCCGCGAAAGCGGGACUAAUUCCCCAUAUUCUCCUAAAACGUCGGUUUUAUGAGGAAAGGCUUCGGUCGCUCUGAGAUGAGCUUUUGGCCCAUCAGCUUGUUGGUGAGGUAACGGCCCACCAAGGCGAUGACGGGUAGGGGGUGUGAGAGCAUGUCCCCCCACAUGGGAACUGCGACACGGUCCCAACUCCUACGGGAGGCAGCAGUCUAGAAAUUUGCGCAAUGGGCGAAAGCCUGACGCAGCGACGCCGCGUGAGGGAUGGAGUCCUUCGGGAUGUAAACCUCUGUUGAGGGGGACGAUUAUGACGGUACCCCUCGAGGAAGCCUCGGCUAACUCCGUGCCAGCAGCCGCGGUAAUACGGAGGAGGCAAGCGUUGUCCGGAAUCACUGGGUGUAAAGGGUGUGUAGGUGGCCUGAUGGGUCAGGUGUGAAAUCUGGUUGCUUAACAACCAAACCGCAUUUGAAACUAUCGGGAUCGAGGGCAUGAGAGGAGAGUGGAACUCGCGGUGUAGCGGUAGAAUGCGUGGAUAUCGCGAGGAAUGCCGAUGGCGAAGGCAGCUCUCUGGGCCGGUCCUGACACUGAAACACGAAAGCUGGGGAGCAAACGGGAUUAGAUACCCCGGUAGUCCCAGCCCUAAACGAUGUACACUUGGCAUAUGCGAUUUCGUAUGUGCCGGAGGUAACCUGUUAAGUGUACCACCUGGGGACUACGCUCGCAAGGGUGAAACUCAAAGGAAUUGACGGGGACCCGCACAAGCGGUGGAGUAUGUGGUUUAAUUCGAGGCAACGCGAAGAACCUUACCUGGGCUUGACAUGCCGAUAGUACUGAGCCGAAAGGCAAGGGAUCCCACCUCGGUGGGAAGUCGGCACAGGUGCUGCAUGGCUGUCGUCAGCUCGUGCCGUGAGGUGUUAGGUUAAGUCCUGCAACGAGCGCAACCCCUGCCAUUAGUUGCCAUUUUGCCGCAAGGUGAAGGCACUCUAAUGGGACUGCCGCAGAUAAUGCGGAGGAAGGUGGGGAUGAUGUCAAGUCCUCAUGGCCUUUAUAUCCAGGGCUACACACGUGCUACAAUGGACGGUACAAAGGGUCGCGAACCUGUAAGGGGGAGCUAACCCCAGAAAACCGCUCUCAGUUCGGAUUGGAGUCUGCAACCCGACUCCAUGAAGUUGGAAUCGCUAGUAAUCGCGGAUCAGAACGCCGCGGUGAAUACGUUCCCGGGCCUUGUACACACCGCCCGUCACACCACGAAAGUUUGUUGUACCAGAAGUCAUUGGGUUAACCCGCAAGGGAGACAGAUGCCGAAGGUAUGGCAGGUAAU